GUCUAUUGGCAUCAGUCCAACCUGCUCUACCCGGUCUUGUGGUCUUCUUUUUCCUUACUUUCUCCUUCUUCAAGCUAACUCUCCAUCAAUGGCUUCCGCAAGAACCUCCGCGCUUAAUAUGGCCGUCGUCGCCCUCUGCCUUGUGCUGGUCCUGUCGUCCAUGGGGCAGAAGGCGAUGGGUGAUUGCGCCUCCGAGUGCGCCGCCGCCUGCGCCUGCACCGGAACGUGCCGGGGCUGCAUCCAGGAAGCGGCAUGCACCGGUAUCUGCGGCCCAACCUCCACCGUGCCCGCAAACUGCCCGGGCUGCAAGGAAACGGCCAGGCUAGCGUGCGAAAGCGAAUGCUUCUCCGGCUGCUCGAUCGGAUAAGGCGUCACCGCGGUAAACGUUUACCGACUGCAUGCUUGCAUGUUGUGCUAGCUAGCUCCGACGACGGUGCCCACCCGGGAGGAAGCUGCUGCCUCGUUGCGUCAGUGUUGUGUUGUAUUUUGUUAUGUUUUUUCCCUUCGUUCGUGUCAUUGUUAUUUCCAAGUAAUCUCUCUUGUGAAAAAUAUUACCAUUUCAA